GCGUUACUCGGAAUUACUGGGCGUAAAGCGUGCGUAGGUGGUUUGUUAAGUCAGAUGUGAAAGCCCCGGGCUCAACCUGGGAAUUGCAUUUGAUACUGGCAGACUAGAGUGCGGUAGAGGAGAGUGGAAUUCCCGGUGUAGCAGUGAAAUGCGUAGAGAUCGGGAGGAACAUCAGUUGCGAAGGCGGCUCUCUGGACCAGCACUGACACUGAGGCACGAAAGCGUG
rnacentral:rRNA from 1 species